GAGGGAGCUUGCUCCUGGAUUCAGCGGCGGACGGGUGAGUAAUGCCUAGGAAUCUGCCUGGUAGUGGGGGAUAACGUCCGGAAACGGGCGCUAAUACCGCAUACGUCCUGAGGGAGAAAGUGGGGGAUCUUCGGACCUCACGCUAUCAGAUGAGCCUAGGUCGGAUUAGCUAGUUGGUGGGGUAAAGGCCUACCAAGGCGACGAUCCGUAACUGGUCUGAGAGGAUGAUCAGUCACACUGGAACUGAGACACGGUCCAGACUCCUACGGGAGGCAGCAGUGGGGAAUAUUGGACAAUGGGCGAAAGCCUGAUCCAGCCAUGCCGCGUGUGUGAAGAAGGUCUUCGGAUUGUAAAGCACUUUAAGUUGGGAGGAAGGGCAGUAAGUUAAUACCUUGCUGUUUUGACGUUACCAACAGAAUAAGCACCGGCUAACUUCGUGCCAGCAGCCGCGGUAAUACGAAGGGUGCAAGCGUUAAUCGGAAUUACUGGGCGUAAAGCGCGCGUAGGUGGUUCAGCAAGUUGGAUGUGAAAUCCCCGGGCUCAACCUGGGAACUGCAUCCAAAACUACUGAGCUAGAGUACGGUAGAGGGUGGUGGAAUUUCCUGUGUAGCGGUGAAAUGCGUAGAUAUAGGAAGGAACACCAGUGGCGAAGGCGACCACCUGGACUGAUACUGACACUGAG
rnacentral:rRNA from 1 species